AUGGCCUUUACCCCCACGUCGGCGUCGGCCACCCUGCCGCCGUCGGCCCCUCCUCCUCCGGCGGCCACCAAGGGCACGCCCCGCCGCGCGCCAUGGAAUGCCGCGCCGCUGGCCGCGGCGGCCGCCUCGUCGACGGCUGCAUUGCUGGCCGCGACGCCGGCCGCGCGCGCCGCGGCGUUGUCCAAGGAGGACGUCGCCGGCUCGUUCACCAAGGUGGUGGACACGGUGGAUGUGGUGAUCGGCGUCGGCGGCAAGGUGGCCGAGCAGUCCUUCGUUGUGCUCAGGGCGCUGGGCGAGGCCGCUAAGCCGGCGCUGCCGGUGCUGCAGAGCGCCGGCGAGCAGGCCCUGAAGCUCGCCUCGCCGGUGGUCUCCGACGCCUCCAGGCAGGCCACGGAGGCGCUCCAGGGCGCCGGCGUCGACCUUGCCCGCUUCCAGUCUGCUUUUAAGACGGUCGCAGAUGCGGCGCAGCCGGCCAUCGGCGCCGCGAAGCCGAUCGCCUCCGAGACCGUCCAGACCAUCGGGUCCCUGGAAGGCACGGACUACGUCGUGGCCGCCGGAGCCGCGUUCCUCGCGUACCUGCUCCUGCCGCCGGCCUGGUCCCUGCUCUCAUACGGCCUACGCGGCUACAAAGGUGACCUGAGCCCAGCUCAAGCUCUGGACAUGGUCACCUCUCAAGGUUACCUUAUCAUCGACGUGCGAAGCGAGAACGACAAGGCCAAAGCCGGCGUGCCGCAGCUCCCCUCCAACGCAAAGAACAAGAUCAUCGCUCUGCCGCUUGAAGAGCUUCCGAACAAGAUAAAGGGAAUGGUGCGCAAUGCGAAGCGAGCCGAGGCGGAGAUCGCCGCGCUGAAGAUCUCCUACCUCAAGAGGAUCGGCAAGGGCUCCAACAUCGUCGUCAUGGACUCGUACGGUGACAACUCCAAGAUUGUGGCCAAGACACUCAACAGCGUGGGGUUCAAGAACUGCUGGGUCAUGGCCGGCGGCUUCUCCGGCCGAAAAGGGUGGGCGCAGAGCCGCCUUGGGACGGACUCCUACAACCUCUCCGUGGUCGAAGUCGUGAAGCCGUCACGGGUGAUUCCGGCGGCCGCUGAACGGUUCGUGACGGUCUCGUCGACUUCGACUCCCUCCAGGACGAGUCGCAAGCUUCUCCCUGGCAGUGUGGACAGCUGA
rnacentral:rRNA from 1 species